CAGUCGCCGCGGUAAUGCGUAGGUGGCAAGCGUUGUCCGGAAUUAUUGGGCGUAAAGCGCGCGCAGGCGGAUCAGUCAGUCUGUCUUAAAAGUUCGGGGCUUAACCCCGUGAGGGGAUGGAAACUGCUGAUCUAGAGUAUCGGAGAGGAAAGUGGAAUUCCUAGUGUAGCGGUGAAAUGCGUAGAUGUUAGGAAGAACACCAGUGGCGAAGGCGACUUUCUGGUCUGUAACUGACGCUGAGGCUCGAAAGCGUGGGGAGCGAACAGGAUUAGAUACCCCAGUAGUCCCUGUCUCUUAUACA
rnacentral:rRNA from 1 species